rnacentral:tRNA from 2 species
GCCGCCGUAGCUCAGUUGGUAGAGCAGCGGUUUUGUAAACCGCAGGUCAACGGUUCGAGUCCGUUCGGCGGCU